AGCCAGACUCCUACGGGAGGCAGCAGUGGGGAAUAUUGCACAAUGGGGGAAACCCUGAUGCAGCGACGCCGCGUGAGCGAUGAAGUAUUUCGGUAUGUAAAGCUCUAUCAGCAGGGAAGAAGAUGACGGUACCUGACUAAGAAGCCCCGGCUAAAUACGUGCCAGCAGCCGCGGUAAUACGUAUGGGGCAAGCGUUAUCCGGAUUUACUGGGUGUAAAGGGAGCGCAGGCGGCCUGGCAAGCCUGAUGUGAAAUACCGGGGCCCAACCCCGGGGCUGCAUUGGGAACUGCCAGGCUGGAGUGCCGGAGAGGCAGGCGGAAUUCCUAGUGUAGCGGUGAAAUGCGUAGAUAUUAGGAAGAACACCAGUGGCGAAGGCGGCUUUCUGGACUGAAACUGACGCUGAGGCACGAAAGCGUGGGGAGCGAACAGGAUUAGAUACCCUGGUACUG
rnacentral:rRNA from 1 species